rnacentral:rRNA from 1 species
AUUGAACGCUGGCGGCAGGCCUAACACAUGCAAGUCGAACGGUAACAGGAAACAGCUUGCUGUUUCGCUGACGAGUGGCGGACGGGUGAGUAAUGUCUGGGAAACUGCCUGAUGGAGGGGGAGGACUACUGGAAACGGUAGCUAAUACCGCAUAACGUCGCAAGACCAAAGAGGGGGACCUUCGGGCCUCUUGCCAUCGGAUGUGCCCGGAUGGGAUUAGAUAGUAGGGGGGGUAACGGCUCACCUAGGCGACGAUCCCUAGCUGGUCUGAGAGGAUGACCAGCCACACUGGAACUGAGACACGGUCCAGACUCCUACGGGAGGCAGCAGUGGGGAAUAUUGCACAAUGGGCGCAAGCCUGAUGCAGCCAUGCCGCGUGUAUGAAGAAGGCCCUCGGGUUGUAAAGUACUUUCAGCGGGGAGGAAGGGAGUAAAGUUAAUACCUUUGCUCAUUGACGUUACCCGCAGAAGAAGCACCGGCUAACUCCGUGCCAGCCGCCGCAGUAA